GAAGUACUCUAAUUUUGGAAGCUCGAUAAAACGUUGGUUUAAAUGUUUUUAGGACGAGCUGAAAAGUUUUUCGAAAAGAAGAAUUUGCUAGCUCUGUUGUAGUUGUCUAGUAUGUUUCUGGGGUUUCCAUCCUUUCUAUUCCUGUUCUGUGGACAUGUAGUAAUGUCCUGUUUCUUGGUCUGUUGGCCUUGUAUCCAUUGUUCUUGCUUUUUGCAGGUUCUACCGCAGGAUUUAACUGUUUUGCAGGUUUUUAUUUUUUGUUGAAGUUAAAAUCUUUAAAUAAAAAAUAAAAUAAAAAACUAGAAGAGUUGAUUAUUUUGUUAUGUCCUAAAUGUCCCACAUAUGAGCUCUUGGGCACUGUUUCUUUUGUAAGCUAGAUUUGCAAGGCUAAGUUCUACCCAUGGGGCAGGAUAUUUGGCAUAGGAUUUCACAGGGAUAUUUGGUAUGGCAUUUCACCACCACGGGGUAGAUGGUAGGUGCAUGAACCCCACUUGGAAAUGGCUACAAUCGAGCUAUCAGGGGAGUAGGUGAGUGAAAGCCACCUCAAUGGAAGUAACUUGGCCAGUGUAUGUAGAGUGGGCUGAUGAGGAGGUAGGGCGCGGAAGAGUGUUAGGUUGACAUGUGCCAGAUGUCAUACGUUUUA